rnacentral:lncRNA from 1 species
UUUUUUUCGGGUGUGGACCACCUAGGAUUUGGCUAAUGGAUUGUUAAGCCUAGACCUAACUCGGGCUCUCCCAAGCCCAUACCAAUUCGCAAACUUAGGUUUAAAUUCUUAGCAUGCAAUUGAUUUUUUAAUCAGGAGUCGCCACUAAUCUAUUUUUUGGUGGGUCGAUUAGAAACACAAGUAAAGUAACGGAAGUUUCACUUUACUCCUACGAACCAGAGACUAUGGGUACGGGGACUUGGUUACACUAGAUUUCUCUAAUGCCCUUUCAGUACCACUUCUUUUUAAUUUUCAAAAAAUAUUUUUGCAGGCAGUUUGGAUUGAUUUUAAAUCUAUUUCCUAACAUGUGAGGUGAUCAUGUGGGUGCACAAACCACCAAUUUAACAUCCAAGAAAGCAAUGAAAUAAUAAUAAAAAAAAUGCG